rnacentral:rRNA from 1 species
GGGCCCGCACAAGCGGUGGAGCAUGUGGUUUAAUUCGAUGCAACGCGAAGAACCUUACCAGGGCUUGACAUACUACAAAUUCUUUUGAGAAAGAGAAGUGCCUUCGGGAAUGUAGAUACAGGUGGUGCAUGGCUGUCGUCAGCUCGUGUCGUGAGAUGUUGGGUUAAGUCCCGCAACGAGCGCAACCCUUAUUUUUAGUUACCAAUUCGUUGGGUUUUUAGAAAGACUGCCGGUGACAAACCGGAGGAAGGUGAGGAUGACGUCAAGUCAGCAUGCCCCUUAUGUCCUGGGCUACACACGUGCUACAAUGGUUAAGACAAAGAGUCGCAAGCUCGUGAGAGUAAGCUAAUCUAAUAAACUUAGCCUAAGUUCAGAUUGUAGGCUGCAACUCGCCUGCAUG